UACAGAGGGGGCAAGCGUUGUUCGGAAUUACUGGGCGUAAAGGGCGCGUAGGCGGCCUUCUAAGUCGAACGUGAAAUCCCCGGGCUCAACCCGGGAACUGCGUCCGAUACUGGAAGGCUUGAAUCCGGGAGUGGGAUGCGGAAUUCCAGGUGUAGCGGUGAAAUGCGUAGAUAUCUGGAGGAACACCGGUGGCGAAGGCGGCAUCCUGGACCGGUAUUGACGCUGAGGCGCGAAAGCCAGGGGAGCAAACGGG
rnacentral:rRNA from 1 species